AUUGAACGCUGGCGGCAGGCCUAACACAUGCAAGUCGAGCGGAUGAAGGGAGCUUGCUCCUGGAUUCAGCGGCGGACGGGUGAGUAAUGCCUAGGAAUCUGCCUGGUAGUGGGGGAUAACGUCCGGAAACGGGCGCUAAUACCGCAUACGUCCUGAGGGAGAAAGUGGGGGAUCUUCGGACCUCACGCUAUCAGAUGAGCCUAGGUCGGAUUAGCUAGUUGGUGGGGUAAAGGCCUACCAAGGCGACGAUCCGUAACUGGUCUGAGAGGAUGAUCAGUCACACUGGAACUGAGACACGGUCCAGACUCCUACGGGAGGCAGCAGUGGGGAAUAUUGGACCAUGGGCGAAAGCCUGAUCCAGCCAUGCCGCGUGUGUGAAGAAGGGCUUCGGAUUGUAAAGCACUUUAAGUUGGGAGGAAGGGCAGUAAGUUAAUACCUUGCUGGUUUGACGUUACCAACAGAAUAAGCACCGGCUAACUUCGUG
rnacentral:rRNA from 1 species